rnacentral:rRNA from 1 species
AGUUGACCUCGGAUCAGGUAGGAAUACCCGCUGAACUUAAGCAUAUCAUAGGGGGAAAAAAAAA